ensembl:lncRNA
GAAACUUGGCCGUGCGGGGCCGGAGGGGUGGCGUGGGAAAAGCAACGCCUACUCGCUUUUGCUCUGACAUUGUCACAAGGAAGUGGCCACCUCCGGUCUGCUUUUCCUGCCUGCUCAAUUUUUGCUCUAUCGGUGGGUCUCUCUACCAGGGGGAAUCGCCAGCAGCCCUGGGGAAGGAAAGAUGUGGAGGAAACUUGCUUUUCAGGAGGUAAGACGCCCACGCUUGCUGUUUGACACUGGAGGACUUAGUGGGGGGAGGAUGUCACCCUUUAUUUGGGCUGAAAUAGGUUUCAAAUGCAUAACAAGGCACUCAAAGUGCACAGGCGGGUUUAAAACACCGAGCCCCAGAAGAAUGAUAUACAGCCUGCGUAGGAACGACAGUUUGUGGCUUUCCUGCUAGGCGCCUAGUAGAAAACAAGUGAUCUCUCGGACAGUCGCUGUUAGACACGCCGAGGCGCUGAGACGCCAUAACUCUCGCAGGGCGGGUCUAAAACUAUGCAGCGGCCAUAUUCAGUCUCCCCUGCAGAAUCACAGAAAAACGAGACCUCUUGUGUUUCAUGGGGUCCCUGCUUCCAGGGGACGACUGAGAUGCUUAAAACAAAGCACCCGCUAAUGUGCUUUGCGUGAGGCAGAGAGGCGCACAGUGACUGACACAGAGCGCUGGAGGAAUGGGGGAUAAAAACUAUUUCUUCAAAAUAACACAGCGACGAAGAUUGCCCUCUCUUAAACGUGUUUGAGGGCGUUCCUUGGCAUAGGACGUACAAAUGCGGACACGUGUAACGGAUCGAUUUCUCGCCAUCCCACUCGCGGUGCCGUCUGGAUUGUUUGGAAGGCUUUUUUUUUCACUGGGGGGCCCUGCAGGAAUUUUGCGGAAUGUCCAGCGUCCGGAUUGAUACGCUUUGCGCAGGAGGAGGCAGGGUCAAGGGGCGGGCCUGCUUAGGGGGUGCCCGAAUGACCAUGUGGGCGCGAGACUCAGAAUUCAUCAUGGCGGGAUACAGUGCCACGAGGGGUAAAAACCAAACCCAUCUCUUUGCCUUUGCAAGCAUCGCCUUUAAAGUCGUCGUCUUACUCGGGUGCGCUGGGCAAGCCGUACCGGACACCCGCCCCAGCCAAUGUCAACAGGACAUCCCUCUGUCUGUGCCCGAGGGUGGUGGCGCGCAACAGCCCCUUAACCUCACGGAGCGCUUUGCCCAGCUCUCCUGGUACGAUGCCUUGGCUGGGACAUGGGUGCCGAUAGCCGUCAUCCGUCCAGGGAAAUCAAACCCACUCAACAGCUCCUUCGCCAGGCACAUAUCCAUGUCCAACAGAUGGCUCACCGUGACGAACGCCAGCAAAGCCAUUGCAGGGGUGUAUAAGAUCGAAUCUGAGAUGAACAAAAACAAGUGUCUGGUUUUCAUCCGUCUGAUUGUAACAGAGCCUGGAUCUUGGUCCAGCCGUAUUGCCGUGGUGGUGGUGCCGGUGGUGGGGUCAGUGAUGGUGGCGGCGCUGUUGAUAUGGCAGAUAAAGAAUAUUGCUCGCUACGUGCGCUCGUUCGGCAGCCGUCAUGAUUUCCCUGCCAGAGCCGCCCCGUCCCAGCAGGCCAGCGACUCAGGCCCCAUGCAGGAGCUGGCAGAGCUGACGCAGCUGGAGGACGCCAGAGGUGGGGACCGGUCAGCUCUGCUGAAUGGGAAACUUCUCGGCAGCGCUGAAAUGCUAAACGUGGGGGACUGGAGAGUGGGGAGGGAUGAACCCUGUCCCUCAACAUCCACUCAAUGUGCAGUGGCAGUCAAGACUGGUACUUUUUAGCUUGGAAAAGAGAUGACUAACGGGGGAUACAAUGGAGGUCUAUAAAAUCAUGACUGGGUUGGAGAAAGUAAAUAAGGAAGUGUUGUUUAUUCCUUCUCAUAACACAAGAACUAGGGGUCACCAAAUGAAAUGAAUAGGCAGCAGUUUUAAAACAAAUAAAAGGAAGUAUUUCUUCA